UACAGCGAAACUGCGAAUGGCUCAUUAUAUAAGUUAUCUGUAUUAUUUGAUAGUGCCUUACUACUUGGAUAACCGUGGUAAUUCUAGAGCUAAUACAUGCUAAAAACCCCGACUUCGGAAGGGGUGUAUUUAUUAGAUACAAAACCAAUGCCCUUCGGGGCUCUUUGGUGAUUCAUGAUAACUAUACGAAUCGCACGGCCUUGCGCCGGCGAUGGUUCAUUCAAAUUUCUUCCCUAUCAACUUUCGAUGUUUGGGUAUUGGCCAAACAUGGUUGCAACGGGUAACGGAGGGUUAGGGCUCGACCCCGGAGAAGGAGCCUGAGAAACGGCUACUACAUCCAAGGAAGGCAGCAGGCGCGCAAAUUACCCAAUCCCGACUCGGGGAGGUAGUGACAAUAAAUACUGAUACAGGGCCCUUUCGGGCCUUGUAAUUGGAAUGAGUACAAUUUAAAUCCCUUAACGAGGAACAAUUGGAGGGCAAGUCUGGUGCCAGCAGCCGCGGUAAUUCCAGCUCCAAUAGCGUAUAU
rnacentral:rRNA from 1 species